AUUAUUGUUAGCACUGUGUUAGGGCUGGUUUUGUAAUCAUAUGAUUAAAUUGAUGUCAGAUUUUUUUAGCCUACAUGAAGGCAGAAGUUGGUAAUUUUUAUCUUGAACACAAUAGAAGUCAGGCAUGUGGGUCUAAUUAAUGCUAUGUCCAUCUUGUUUACAGGUAUUUUUUUCUGAGAGCUGAUACAACUAUGCCAGAACCUUGCAUGGGAAAAUGAGGACUUCCUAAGGACUAAGGACUUUCCUAAAGAAAAGCACCAUCUAACAUUAGUGAUCCAACGUGGAGUUAUUCAGAGCUAUGGGUGUGCUUUUCAUGGACCACGAGAGGAGGUAAAGCAACCUGCUUUGAAGAGUGGAGAGGAAUGUUUUGCCUAGUUUGGAAAACUGGUGACAUGAAAGUUUCUUGUGACACAUUAAAACUUCAAGAAAAGAAGUGAUGGACAGCAGAUGAAAAACUCAGCUUGGGAAUUACUUUAUUUUGAAAAGUGGUGAGCUAGUCAAAAGUAAUUCUCUGUGCCUUAUUGCAUGAGUGCAUGAGCUCUCCAACUCUGUUUUAAUGCAAAAUUCAUCUAGCGUAACACUGUGAAAAUAUUAUGUACAAAUUAAACACAUCUAGACUCUGUUUUGUUUUCACUGUCUGAUGUUCCUUUAGUACUCCAUAGAGUAUAAGAAAAGCAAAAAAAAAUUCUGGCAAUUAGCCUUGUCUUACAAUUCCAAAAAGUUAAAAAUCCCCUUACUCGGAAACAUUUGUAAUAAUUUUAAUUGAAAGCAAUAGAUUGAUGUUUUUAUUUAACUGGCAAUAUUCAACAGCUACCAAGUAGACUGUGAGGUUGAUACUGUAUUGAUUGAUAUUGUAUUUAUAGAAUUGGAAAUAUAGUGAUUUUUUUCUUUAAUCUGGCACAUCAUAGAAUGCUUCUCAUUGCAAGCUACCUUUGAACAUCAUAUCAGUCCUGGAGGUUGCUCAGAAUUUUCCCUAGAGAAAUCAAAUAGAUCCAACUUUUAAUGGCAUUAAUUUAAUAAGGGGACAUUGAGCAAAACAACUUGUACGUAGAUGAUUAAACUAUGUUGCUGUGGAGAGAAAGUUUUGAGCAAUUGUUCUGUUAAUA
ensembl:lncRNA